GACGAACGCUGGCGGCGUGCCUAAUACAUGCAAGUCGAACGCACUCUCGUUUAGAUUGAAGGAGCUUGCUCCUGAUUGAUAAACAUUUGAGUGAGUGGCGGACGGGUGAGUAACACGUGGGUAACCUGCCCUAAAGUGGGGGAUAACAUUUGGAAACAGAUGCUAAUACCGCAUAAAACCUAACACCGCAUGGUGUAGGGUUGAAAGAUGGUUUCGGCUAUCACUUUAGGAUGGACCCGCGGUGCAUUAGUUAGUUGGUGAGGUAAAGGCUCACCAAGACCGUGAUGCAUAGCCGACCUGAGAGGGUAAUCGGCCACACUGGGACUGAGACACGGCCCAGACUCCUACGGGAGGCAGCAGUAGGGAAUCUUCCACAAUGGACGAAAGUCUGGUGGAGCAACGCCGCGUGAGUGAAGAAGGUUUUCGGAUCGUAAAACUCUGUUGUUGGAGAAGAAUGUAUCUGAUAGUAACUGAUCAGGUAGUGACGGUAUCCAACCAGAAAGCCACGG
rnacentral:rRNA from 1 species